ensembl:lincRNA
AGCAGGUGGAAGGAGGCGGUGGCGGCGGAGGGGCAGGAUGGCAGGGCCCGUCCUCCUGAGUGUGGGUGCCGCAGUGGGAGCUGGUGGCCGGAAACCCGUGUGCGCCGCCGGGAUCCUGCUCUCCAUCUGCGCCUACUACGUGGAGCGGGAGAAGGAGCGGGACCCCGAGCACCGGACCUUCUGUGACCUGGGACCCUGGGUGAAGUGCUUCGCCGCCCUUGCCUCCAGGCUGGCAGAGGACAGUGGAGCAGCUAACACACAAAACUACCAUUUGUGCAUGGCUAAAGACCGUGGUGAUUUUAUAGCAUCCUGAGCAUUUCACAUCCAUGAAGUAGGAAUUGGGGCACUGCACCAGGCGUUUCUUCUUGUGUUUCCUCUUCUCCUCUUCUGGAGAGGGAUGAAGAAGAUCCUUUGCGAGAGGCAUGUUCUCGGGGGUAGGUUGUCACCGCCGGGCCUGUUUUCUUUCUAUACACAGUAUUGGUAAGGUUGAUCUGUAUAUUUGUAACACUUUUUCUUUCGUCUUGUUAAUCUAUUUUGUCCUUUUGAUUCAAGUUGUGGGAUAAUUCAUUUACUGAUUUUUUUAUGUUACUAAUUUUUGUUUGGUAAUAUUUCAUCUGCUACUUAUUACUUCUAUUGCUGUUUUAAGUUUGGCAAACCAUGCUUUUUAUCUCUGAAAUCUUUUCUCAGAUUAUUCUGAUUUCAUUUUUAAAGAUGCAAAAUUCACUCAAACCUUGCAUUUUAUUAUUUUUCUUCAAUUUAUACCAGAUACUGUGAGACUGUCAAGUUUUUAAAUCUCUUUUUCAGCUCUAGGGCAUUUAAACUUUAAUAUUAGUGUGUUUAAAACCCGUUAGGACUGGGAAAUGAAAGAAAAUGGAGUACCCAUUUCUUCCUUCAAUCCAGCCACCUCAACACACAAUUAAAAUGUGGUAUGGCCAGGCGCGGUGGCUCAUGCCUGUAAUCCCAGCACUUUGGGAGGCCGAGGUGGGUGGAUCACUAGGUCAAGAGAUCGAGACCAUCCUGGUCAACACAGUGAAACCCCGUCUCUACUAAAAACUACAAAAAAUUGGCUGGGCAUGGUGGCGCGUGCCUGUAAUCCCAGCUACUCAGGAGGCUGAGGCAGGAGAAUUGCCUGAACCCAGGAGGCGGAGGUUGCGGUGAGCCGAGAUCGCGCCAUUGCACUCCAGCCUGGGUAACAAGAGCGAAACUCCGUCUCAAAAAAAAAAAAAAAAAUGUGGUAUUAGGGCUGCACACAGCGGCUCACGCCCAUCAUCCCAGCACUUUGGGAGGCUGAGACAGGAGCAUCCUGUGAGUCCUGAGGUUUGAGACCAGGCUGAACAACAUGGUGAAACUCCAUCUCUACAAAAAAAUUAGCCACACAUGCCGGCUUGUGCUUGGAGGCUGAGGUGGGGAGGAUUGCUUGAGCUCAGGAGAAUGAGGUUGCAGUGAGCUGUAAUCGCACUCCAGCCUGGGUGAUAGAGCAAGACCCUGUCUCAAAAGAAAAAAAAAAAAGUACCAUGAAAUUUUUAUUAAUGUAAGGUUAGGUCUAAGAGUUUUAUUUGCAAAGAUUACCAUGUGGGAGUAAUCUCUAGACAUUUUUGACUUCCUGGCCUAUUUUGUAAGACCCCCAAAGGUGGAGAACUGAAUCAGGAAAAUAAGCAGAGCUUGAAUACACACUGCCAUUUUUGAGAGGAACACGAAUUCAGAACUCUAAAGAAUUGGAGGUAUUUCUUUCCUUAAUUGCACUUUGGAGUUUGGCCCUCGGGACCACGAAAUGAAUGUGAGUUCCUCUUCUCUAGGAGUCCAGUCUAAUGCUAGACAUACAUGGUAAUAAGCACAGUCGGUGCAAGAGAUCAGUGGUCUGAAGGUAAAGGAGAAGAGAUCGAUAAUUCAUGGUUGAUGUUUUCCACUGAGGGGCCAGCGUGGGUUUUAUGCAGCAUGGAGGACAUUUGAGAUUUCAUUUGGGGUAAUAGCAGACUGUAACCUGGGAUGGGUAAAAAUUAUAAAGCAAUGCUUACGCUCAGGUUGGCAACCUUGAAUUUGUACUGGUGCUAAUUGUGGGUUUUUUCCUAGUAGUAUUUACCGCCCCUAUACAGGGGUGGAAAAUGAAGCUAGUGUAUGUACUCAAAAUAGGUGAUUUGAAGGAAAAUGGGACUGAGCAAAGUAGUGCUUUAUAAUCAGCCCCAGUUUUUGGGAUAAGAUUGCUAGGGACUAAUUACUUUCACAUUAUAAUGUGAAAUUAAUCAUUAAAACCUUAAGUAAAAAUGGAAGGUUUUGGCACGGCGCGGUGGCUCAUUUCUGUAAUCCCAGCGCUUUGGGAGGCCGAGGAGGGUGGAUCACUUGAGGUCAGGAGUUCAAGACCAGCCUGGUUAGCAACAGUGGAAACCCUGUCGCUACUAAAAAUACAAAAAUUAGC